CGUACACAGUUUUAAAAUCUGUUUAAGUGGAGCAUCCUCAGGUCCCUGCGAAUGAACUGUUACUAUGACAACAUAACAAAGAGCGCAUAAACAUAAACAUGUGAUAUAAAACCUAUGGUAUAAAAUGGUGUUCAUUACUACAUUGUUACUACUACAUGGCAUACACAGUCUUAUAUACUUUAUGUUGUGUACAAAACCGCCAAUGGGAAAUAAUCUUUGACUAAUUAUGUUCAUUUCACUGCCUUGCUGUGUAGGCUGACUCAAACACCGUGUUGGCAUUCAGCAAAAGACAAAACCCUCAUGAAUAUAAACAUACUCACUGUUGUCCUGUACGGAAUGUAGGCUAUCGUCGGUGCUGUUGAAUUCAAAAUCAACGGCACGUCUUUCAAAACAAGCUAAAGUGGAGUCACUAAAAGAAGAGUGAAUCUGAAGGCCACAACUGAUGAAUUCUCAGCGGAUUGUAAACGGUAAUGGUUGACCAGGAAAGUGACACUGAUGCUCAAUGCCCGACUUGAGGAUCCAGCAGGCCAGACCCUGAGGGAGAGAGAGAGAGAGAGGAAGUGGGGAGGAUGCUAGUGGGAGAGUAGAGAGACAGGAAAGAGAGACAUGCUGAUGAAGACAGCCAGGCCACCACUAUUAGCGACUCAUCUUCAUUAGAAUGCUACAAGGUGUGCUGUUUUAGGAAAAUAAUCAACAGCAGGGUGGUAUGAUCCAGCCUAUUGCAAAGUGCAGUGUUUUAUUAAUCUUUAUAAACUACAGCAAUUUGCCAAUGGUAGCAUUUUUUAUUCUUAUUUUAUUUACUAAAGAACGACGCCUAUGUUUUGUCUGUUUAUAGUUACGUUUAAUGGUGUGAAACAAGUAAAUCCCUGUAUUCACUUACAUUGUAGCAGCUAUAACGGGUACACAGUAAAAUCCCUAGUGUUGAAUUAACACCCAGAGUGUUUAUAUGACUGUUAUAGACUGUUACAAAGCGCUAACACUGGAGACUCCUUCCAAAAAUGUUAAAUAAACUUUUCCAAAUGUAACCAUAUUCGUGCUUAGAUUUUUUUAUUUAUUAUGUUUUGUAAUCUGUUUGGUGGUACAGUGGCUUAGUGGUUAGCACACUUGCCUUGCACCUCCAGGGUUGGGGGUUCGAAUCCUGCCUCCGCCCUGCCUCCGCCCUGUGUCUGCACAGCGAGCAUGUUCUCCCCAAGCUUGGGUGAUUUCCUCCUCCAGUCCAAAGACAUGUAUUGCAGGCUGAUUAGCAUUUCCAUAUUGUUCAUCGUGUGUGAAUGUGCUCUGCCAUGGGUUGGUACCCCAUCCAGGGUGUCCUCUGUCUUGUGCCCCGAGUUCCCUGGGAUAGGCUCCAGGUUCCCCUGCAACCCUGUGUAGG